GGGAGGGAAACGGGGCGGCGAGCGCUCCUCGCUCUAACCGGGAGGGCUCCAGGCCUGCCGCCUCAUAUAAAGCGUCCGCGCCGGCAAACCGAGAGCGGGAUGUUCUGAAGACCUGCUCGCUAGGCCACGCACGGAGGACGCUGGUUCCUCACGGGCCGCGCGCCCGCCUAGGGGAAAGUCCCCGGACCGCUGGCAGAGAGUGCCGGGCGCUGCCCGCGCCCCCGCCCGCCGCCGCCUCACGCACAGCGCCGCCGAGACGCCCCCGGGCCGAGCGGGUGAGCGCGGGGCGGGCCCUCGUCACGGCCACAGACACGCAGGUAGUGCGCAGGCGCACUAACAGAACGGGGCUCACUCUCAGGUCAUCCCCUUUUUUUUUUUUUAUGGGAAGCCGGGAGAGAGGUCUGGCUGCGUCGUCACUUCCCCGGCGCCGCAGAGCUGCUUGCGGUACGGGCAAAGCACGCGUGGGGAGACGCUGCUCCCCUGCCUGGCAGGACGCGGGGUCCCGCACCCCGCCUUCUCCUCCUGCCCACUGGGCUUCAGGGUGCACAGGCUCGGUCUGGGGAGGUGGGGCGCCUGUCCCUGCCCGAAAAGGCUCUUCUUCCCUCCCUGUUCCAGGAAGAAACAAGAGGCCAGAAAGAAGUCUCUUAUCGCGUUCGUUUGCACCACGCAGAAGUUGAACAUCGAUCGGGAUGGCCCACCCGCGCGGCAGCACACGGCGCGCCGACCCCACGCUCCCUCCGGGCGCCCGCUGCGCCCUCCCGCCGCGAGUGCCGCCGCUGCUACCUGCCCACUCGAGGCAGAUGCUCACGCUUACCCUCCCCAAGACGAGGCAGGAUGCUGCUGCCUGCGGCAAUCACGCACUUUGCACUAGAGCACCUUAGCAAUUCAGGCUGGUUUUCUCUCUGCGUGGACAAAAUUCUCUCACUUGUCAUUUAUGGUAAUUCAAGCCUAAUAUUUAAGGAAAAUCAAAAGCAAUGACGUCUGCCAUUACAGGUAAGUAUCUUUUUUGGAUGACCUGAUGUUAGAGAAGUUUUCAAGAAUAGCUUACCUGGACAAAUGCACUACUAUCUCUGUAGCUCUGGCAAGGAUAACCUCUUCAUGGAAUAUCACCUAUGAGAAGGUCAACUAUGGCUGUACUGAUUCUUUCUUUUCUUUAUGUUUCUCUCCUUGGUAUCUUGGAGAAUUCUUUGUCCUCUUCAAACGAAAGCAAAGAAGCAUACCUGCCAAGAAAUACGUAUCGUCAAAACCCAGUUCUGUUCCAUUUGCUUAAAAGAAGCACCCUGUUACCAUCCUUUGAGCAUUUCCACUAAAUGCUAAGUAGGUCUUUCACAAUUACAGCCCCUUAUGGACUUGUCCUCAUCAGUAAUGCUGCUUUUCAUUAUUUUUACCACAGGCUGAAACCCUUCCUGGGCUAUCAGUGGAAAUCUGAAAAAAAAUCUAACCAACCUGGGUAUUAUUAGGUGAAACAGGACAGGAAUCUGCUAUGAUGUGAGGAUGUAAAAUCAGGGUUAUGAAAGAGAGAGAGGCAAAACUGCAAAUGGGGAAAAUAAAUUUUGGAUUAAAUAACUGGAAAUAUUUUAUCAUAGUAAAAUCUAUAAUGUAAUAAAAUAAUCUUUCACAAAAAGAAGGGGAAUACCCUGAUUGGGACUUUUAAAAACUAUGUAGGGAAAUGAAAAAGAAACAAAACUGUUGGGAUCUAUUCUCCAUGAAAAGUGGGGAUAGCUUAGAGACAUAUAAAUAAAUCUAAAUAAAUUGAA